GGGCACAUGGUGUAGUUGGUUUAUCACGCUCGCUUAGCAUCUGUUAGGAUUGGAGCAAUGCGAGAGGUGUCCGGUUCAAUUCCGGAUGUGUCCA
rnacentral:tRNA from 1 species